GUGAGCAGGAGGAAUGGGGCUAAUGGUGCUCACCUUCUCUGGCAGCCCCGUGCCAGCUCAUUGGUGAUGCAGACCAGGCAGCUGGUGUCAGAAGCCUGUCUUUGUAAACAUCUCUACUUUCGAAAAGAGAACAUAAUUCUGCUCCCCUGGUGUAUUUCUUCACUUAUAGCUGUCUGAAUUGAAAAGGCAGAUGUUUUAUUUGGGGAAUUGACUGCAAAGCACCUGGGGCAUGGAUGCAAGCAAAAGCCUCAGACUCUUAGAUCUUCAAUCUCUUCUCAUCAUCUGCUUGGAGCCUGCAUGAGGAAGGGCCAGCGGACCACACAGUGUGUAAGUUGAAGAAGCUGAGAUUCCCCAUUGAUGAUGCUUAAGAAACAUCAGAAUUGGGUUCAGAAGUUCAGGAAAGCUCCUCAUCCAUUGUCAUGGCACGUGUGCUUUGGGAAGGCCCACACUCUCAGCUAGAUCCUGGGCCAUCACAUCUUCUCUCUCUUUUCUUUUUUUUAAAUUAAUUGCA
rnacentral:lncRNA from 1 species